rnacentral:lncRNA from 1 species
GUCUGAAGCAUAGAAUGACUAGUCACUGAAUCAGAUUAGAAAACAUAAUGAACACUGCAGGAGCACUGUUGUACCAAGGAGCCUGACGGUCAAAGAAGAACUGCACUUGAUCUUACGCACAAUUAAGCACAGCACCAGACGCUAAGUACCCCAGGGAGAACACAAGGAAAAUGAAGAAAGACAAAAUAUUAGCAUCUCUGACAUUUACAGAAUAGAUGGGAGAGAAGAACCUGGAGGAAAGCUGUAAAGGGUACAUCAGAGAGGUGCCUAUCUUGAGGGUUGGAACAUAUGUAGUGGAUAUUCUAUUGUAUUUGCUGAGAGAUUGAUGGAAUCAAUGAUAAAUGA